UACGUAGGGUGCAAGCGUUGUCCGGAAUUAUUGGGCGUAAAGAGCUCGCAGGCGGUCUGUCGCGUCUGCUGUGAAAACCCGGGGCUCAACCCCGGGCUUGCAGUGGAUACGGGCAGACUAGAGUUCGGUAGGGGAGACUGGAAUUCCUGGUGUAGCGGUGAAAUGCGCAGAUAUCAGGAGGAACACCGGUGGCGAAGGCGGGUCUCUGGGCCGAUACUGACGCUGAGGAGCGAAAGCGUGGGGAGCGAACAGG
rnacentral:rRNA from 1 species